GGCCGACUAUACAGACUUAUGAAUUACAAAGAGUUGCGAGUCCGGGGCCAUGACCCGGUCAACAACGUGGAAAAGGCUUAAACGCCAAAGAUAAUUACGCUUUAGCUGCUUAAUUAAAGUAGCUCGUCCGCUUACCGCGAGCCUGUAGGGGUAAGUCCGGGCGCCGACUAAUCAGGCUACCGACUCCACGGUUGGCAGAGCCAAAGGAGAAGGGAAUAACAAGUGUGCUAGUGUAACGGAAUCUUGUCUCAAGGAGCCCGUUACCCGAAACUAAAUUUGAGGCUACACUCGUAGAAGCUUUUGCUGGUUUGCCUUCGGACAGGGGUUCGAUUCCCCUCGCCUCCACCA
rnacentral:tmRNA from 1 species